GGACGACGUCAAGUCCUCAUGGCCCUUACGCCCAGGGCUACAAACGUGCCACAAUGGCCGGUACAGAGGGACGCGACUCCGCGAGGACAAGCAAAUCCCAAAAAGCCGGUCUCAGUUCGGAUUGAAGGCUGCAACUCGCCUUCAUGAAGCUGGAAUCGCUAGUAAUCGCGCAUCAGCUACGGCGCGGUGAAUAUGUUCCUGAGCCUUGUACACACCGCCCGUCAAGUCAUGGAAGCUGGUAGUACCCGAAGUCCGUUGGUUAACUUCGUGAGACGGCGGCCGACGGUAAGACCGGUGACUGGGACUAAGUCGUAACAAGGUAGCCGUAGGAGAAC
rnacentral:rRNA from 1 species